rnacentral:rRNA from 1 species
GGCCUACCAUGGUGGUAACGGGUAACGGGGUGUUAGGGCACGACACCGGAGAGGGAGCCUGAGAAACGGCUACCACAUCCAAGGAUGGCAGCAGGCGCGCAAAUUACCCAAUCCCGACACGGGGAGGUAGUGACAAUAAAUAACAAUACGGGGUUCUUUAGGAUCUCGUAAUUGGAAUGAGUACAAUUUAAAUCUCUUAACGAGGAACAAUUGGAGGGCAAGUCUGGUGCCAGCAGCCGCGGUAAUUCCAGCUCCAAUAGCGUAUAUUAAAGUUGUUGCAGUUAAAAAGCUCGUAGUUGAAUUUCGGGGUUAGUAAGUUGGUCAUGCCUUUGGUAUGCACUGGCUUUACUGAUUCCUCCUUCUUGACGAACCAUGAUGUCAUUAAUUUGGUGUUGCGGGAAAUCAGGACUGUUACUUUGAAAAAAUUAGAGUGUUUAAAGCAGGCUAACGCUUGAAUACAUUAGCAUGGAAUAAUGAAAUAGGACGUUAAUCCUAUUUUGUUGGUUUCUAGGAUCGACGUAAUGAUUAAUAGGGAUAGUUGGGGGCAUUAGUAUUCAAUUGUCAGAGGUGAAAUUCUUGGAUUUAUUGAAGACUAACUACUGCGAAAGCAUUUGCCAAGGAUGUUUUCAUUAAUCAAGAACGAAAGUUAGGGGAUCGAAGACGAUCAGAUACCGUCGUAGUCUUAACCAUAAACUAUGCCGACUAGGGAUCGGAUGAUGUUAAUUUUAUAAUGACUCAUUCGGCGCCUUACG